GGUGGGCACUAGGUGUGGGGGACAUUCCACGUUCUCCGUGCCGAAGCUAACGCAUUAAGUGCCCCGCCUGGGGAGUACGGCCGCAAGGCUAAAACUCAAAGGAAUUGACGGGGGCCCGCACAAGCGGCGGAGCAUGCGGAUUAAUUCGAUGCAACGCGAAGAACCUUACCUGGGUUUGACAUACACCGGAAAGCUGCAGAGAUGUAGCCCCCGCAAGGUCGGUGUACAGGUGGUGCAUGGCUGUCGUCAG
rnacentral:rRNA from 1 species